rnacentral:misc_RNA from 1 species
GCAAACUUGGUCAUUUAGAGGAAGUAAAAGUCGUAACAAGGUUUCCGUAGGUGAACCUGCGGAAGGAUCAUUAUCGAAUCCUCAGGAUGUUGCUGGCCUUUCGGGGCAAUAAUGUGCACUCCACUCUUUUUGAUUCACCUGUGAACUUGCUGUAGGGCCUCGAUGCCCUAUGUUUUUAUAACACCCAAUUGUCUAUUGAAUGUAACUGCAGUUAGGCCUUUGCUGGUCAAAAACUCACUAUACAACUUUCAACAAUGGAUCUCUUGGUUCUCGCAUCGAUGAAGAACGCAGC